rnacentral:rRNA from 1 species
CUCCGGUUGAUCCUGCCGGACCUGACUGCUAUCGGAUUGGUACUAAGCCAUGCGAGUCAUUGUAGCAAUACAAGGCGGACGGCUCAGUAACACGUAGUCAACCUAACUCGUGGACGUGGAUAACCUCGGGAAACUGAGAAUAAACCACGAUAGACCAUAGUGCCUGGAAUGGCUUAUGGUCCAAACAAUUUACUGCCAUGGGAUGGGACUGCGGCCUAUCAGCUUGUUGGUGAGGUAAUGGCCCACCAAGGCGAUUACAGGUACGGGCUCUGAGAGGAGAAGCCCGGAGAUGGGUACUGAGACACGGACCCAGGCCCUAUGGGGCGCAGCAGGCGAGAAACCUUAGCAAUGUGCGAAAGCACGACUGGGUCAGUCCGAGUGAUUCCUGAUAAAGGAGUCUUUUAUCUGUCCUAAAAGCACAGGUGAAUAAGGGGUGGGCAAGUCUGGUGUCAGCCGCCGCGGUAAUACCAGCACCUCGAGUGGUCAGGACGUUUAUUGGGCCUAAAGCAUCCGUAGCCGGCUUUGCAAGUCUCCGGUUAAAUCCACCUGCUCAACAGAUGGGCUGCUGGAGAUACUACAAAGCUAGGGAGUGGGAGAGGCAGACGGUAUUCAGUGGGUAGGGGUAAAAUCCUCUGAUCCAUCGAGGACCACCAGUGGCGAAGGCGGUCUGCCAGAACACGUUCGACGGUGAGGGAUGAAAGCUGGGGGAGCAAACCGGAUUAGAUACCCGGGUAGUCCCAGCUGUAAACGAUGCAAACUCGGUGAUGCAUUGGCUUAUGGCCAAUGCAGUGCCGCAGGGAAGCCGUUAAGUUUGCCGCCUGGGAAGUACGGACGCAAGUCUGAAACUUAAAGGAAUUGGCGGGGGAGCA